CAAAUAAAUAAAUAUCCCUUUGCACAUAAAAAAGUAACUGGUUGUCAGAAAAGUAAAAGACAAGUUACAAAUAGAAAAUAUUUACCGUGUAGACAAUAGGCUGACCUUAAUUUAUAAAUAAACUCUUAAAAAUGAGAAAAAAAGAAACACCAAAAACUUGAUUAAAAAAAUAUAGACAGAAGACAUUAACAUAUGGUUCAGAAAAAGUCACACAAAUGGAUAUGUAAGCACGAAAAGAUGCCCAAUUUUGUUUAUGGUAAAAUAAAUGCACAACACAACACUGAGAUACCAUGUCUCUCCUCUCAGAUUAGCAAAAAGGAAAAGCUUGAGAAACACCUUGCUGUCAAAGUUUGAGGUGACAGACAUUAUUGUCAUAUGUUGCUGAUGGCUAUAUAAAAUGGUACUCACCUAAACCAGGCAGUUGGCAGUAUCUUACAAAAUAGCAAUCCCAAUGCUAGAAAUAUACCUACAGGCAUACCUCCACAAAAGGAAACAAACACAAGGCUAUUCAUUGAGGUAUCAUGAACAGUCAGAAAAAAUUGAAAACACUCCAAAUUUUCAAUAACUAGGGACCUGUUGAGUAAAAUAUGGUAUAGCCACACAAUGUAGUACCUUGCAGCUGUUUUUUUUUUUAAAAAAAAAAAAAAAAGAGGUGAAACUUUAUGAAUGGAUCCAAAGUCAAUUUCAAUAGAUAUGGUAAGGAUGAAAAUGUAAAUAAAAAAUAAUGGGUAUCCUACUUUUGGUUUUCUCAGUGGUUUUAUUGUGGUAUAAUUGAUACACAAAGAAUUGAACACAUUUAGCGUAUACAAUUUGAAGAGUUUGGACAUAUGCAAAUACCCUCACCACAUCCAAAGUAAUCCACAGAUCCAACCACCCAAAGUUUCCGUGUGUCCCUUUGCUUUUGUUUCAUUUUGCUUUGGUAAGAACAAACGUGAGAUCUAUCCUCUUAAAUUGUGAAAUGCCCAAUACAUAUUGUUAACCUUAAACAUGAUAUUGUACUGCUGAUCUCUAGAGCUGAAUCAUCCAGCAAACUGAAACUUUAUCCCUAUUGAAUAAAAACUCCCCAUUUCCCCCACUCCCUCCCAGCUCCUGGCAACCACUAUUGUAGUCUCUGCUUCUAGGAAUUUGACUGUUUUAGAUAUGUCAUAUAAGUGGAUCCAUGCAGUAUUUGUUUUUCUGUGACUGGCUUAUUACACUUAGCAUGAUGUCCUCCAGGCUCAUAUAAGUUACGUUUUCCUUCUUUUUUAAGGCUAACGGUCCAUUGUUUGUUUAUACCAUCUUUUUUUCAUUCAUGCAUCUAUUGAUAGUCACUUGGAUUGUUUCUAUGUUACUUUUGUUAUUAAAAAACAAAAACUGAUAAAACAAAUGAAAAUGUUUACAUAUGGGAGUUGAGUGGGAUCAGGGUGGAGGGCUAGGGAUAAAAAUGAGAAUUCUACAGAUAUAACCUUUCAAGUGCCUUUUGAAUCACAUAAGUGCUUUGCAUAUUCAAAAAUAAAAUUAAAUCAAAAAGGAUGAAGAAAUUCAUAAGGUAUCAGCAAGCUAAAUUGACCCACCUGUUCUGCCACCUGUGAUCUAUGCAAUUACUUCAGGCUUGAGGACUUUACUGGCUUUCUAAGGUGCAUCCUGAGGCUGUGAAUAGAAAAUAUGUGCUUGGGGAAGGAAAACUGAAAAUUAAAAUUAGGUUAAGCUGAUUGCAUUCACCUUCAUAAAAGCUAAUACCCAAUUACAUUACAGUUAGCAGUUCGAUUCAGUUACCUUCACAAUGCAUAAAGAGAUAUUAGUCGUAAGUUUUUCAUUCUGGCUUUUAUUGUUUUUUUCCCCUGAAGUGAUUUUAAUCACAGACCAAGUUCAAUAACUAUUAUUAAGUUUCUAAGAUUUUACUAAAUAAGGCCAACUUUCUCCUCAUUUCCAUCAUCUGACUCACACACGGAGCCCCUAAGGCAGGAUGCAGCAGCAAACAUAUUGGUGUCAGCAAUUAUGGGCUGACUCAUCAGAGAACAUGCUCAAUUAACCUAUUGAAUCUCUCCAGCAGGCAUUUCAUCCUCGGUAGGACCAUCUGUACCGCAUUCACCCAGGGUGGGAGCCCAGCCAACAGGUCGUGUGUUCCCACGCAUUUCAGCUCUGAUGGCUGGCCAGAAACAAUCCACAACCUCACAGCACCCGCCAAGCUGCAUCAAAAACAGAUCUCAAACUCCAAACAUUCCCUCUAAGCGAAAGAGACCAUUUCCAGGUUACUCUGCUACCACUGUAAUGCAUCCCAAGCGUAGGAAAAUGAUUGCCUAUUAUUGCAAUAGUUCACAUAACAGUUCACAAGGUGCUAUAAGGAUUAAGAGUCCACCAAUUUUUGUAUGACUAUAGAUUUAGCCAUUUGGCUUGCUGAGUAGAUACAUGAAAAUCACUUAAUCUCUCUAAAUUUCAAUAUCCUCAUUUGUAAAACACCCAACUAACAGACUUUUGGUCAGAAGUUUAAUGAGAUGCUCAGUGUACCAGGGUUGCAAAUAAGCAAUGGGUCCCAGUAUUUCAUGUGCUGAGAAAAGUUAGCUCUUAUCCAUGUAACUGAAAUUCUCCUCCCUAGACCUCAACCACGUGAGGAAAGGGGAGUAAAGAAACAAUUGAAACAUAAUAAAGCACUAAACUCUGCUAUCUAAAAGAUCUCAACUCUUUCCAGUUUAAAAGUCUCCUGAAUAACACAGCAUAUUUCAUGUAAACACUGCCAAAUCCUCUCACCCUCCUUCUAUUCAGCAAGGUGGAUUUCUAGGGAUGCUUACAUUAUCAGGGAGGAUGGAGACAAUGCCAGGUGCUUGGUUGUGGAUCCCUAAUCUUUCUUUACUGCAGAGUGGCUGGGUUGGUCUUGCCCAGUCUUGGGCUCUGUGGAGAUAGCAGUGACAGGGUCCUUGGUUCCGGGCAGUCCUUCUACUGCUGCCCACUGCUCAAGUCUGCAACUGACACCUUUCUGAUCUAUUUCUUUGGCUCAGUCCAGACUUGCCUUGUUCCCUGAGCAAGUCCUGGAUUGCUCUGAUACUUGGUUGAUUCCCAUUGAUUUCUGUCUCUGGCAACUCUAACCCUAGAAAAUCCUUAGCUGUUCUCCUUAUCACUGCCAAUAAGAGCUUCUAGGAACUUCUAUGUCCUCUACAUGCCCUUCAUGCAGCUCAAUAAAUCUAGCUGGUCUGGCUAGCAUUUAUCCCCUUGUUAUGCCAUCAUCCCCUUGAACAUAUGGGGCCAACUGAAUAGCAGCUUCCUCCCAGGGUUUCAAAGAGAUAAUGGGCUCAAAGUCCUUGUUUCAAGUUUAUCUCUUCCCAUAUAACUCCUUUUUCACUCUAGCCCUCUCUGGAACUUGGGUCCAGAGAGAGCUGGCAAAAUGUAUGUUAUCUUCCAAAAAUGAUCUCUUCACAGUAGGCACUUUACUGAUUUUCUUUGUCUGGAAGAGACAUUGAAAUGUCAUAUCCUCCUUCUGGAAGCGACAUUCUACCUGAUCACUUCUCUGGAAUUACAAAGGUAGAUGGAGAGGAGAGAAAGAGAUCCACUUUUACUGAUAAGGAAAGCUUCAAAUUAGAGUUUCUUUGCUGUAUAUGUAAAGCAUUUAGCACUGUGUCUAGCACAGACACCCACUCAGUAAUGCCAGCUAUUACUAAUAAUGUUCUAUAUUUGUUUAUAGGAAGAUACCACCAAGCUUUUCCAGAGUGGGCUAGAUGAUCAAAAAUCUAUACGUUCAUAGGUCAGUUGAUUUUUUUUGUUGUUAGUAAAGAUAAGCAGAAGGUCUAUGUUUGUCUUAUGAGUAUUGGAAAUUAUUAUUGAUUCAAAUGUACACACAGUAUUUAUCUCAAUUUUUAUAUUGCUAGGAGCCCUAUUACCCUGGUUUAAUGAUGCAAACAAAAAGAAUUACAUGUGAAAAUCUCCCUGUGAAAAAUAUUUGCAGUACAUAUUAACUCGUUCAUUCAUUUAACAAGUAUUUACCUAUUACAUGCCUGGGGAUACAUGAAUAAAAUACAAUCUCUGCUCCUCCUGGACAUAGGACAAAGCGUUUGUUCUUUUAACAUAUGAAGAGCUUUUACAAGUCAGUAAGGAAAGGUCAAAAACAUGAAAUUUGACUAACGAUAGGAAAAUGUAGUUCUCAAACAUAAACCCACACAUAGAGAACCACAUGCAAGGCCUACCAAUAUUUUAAAGGGCCUACCAAUAUUUAAAAUGUUUUCCUCAUGGUAAAAGGAAAAUUUAAUUUCUAAGACCCUAUGUACCAUAUUCUAAUGAGAUUAUUUCUGUCUCAAUUUUAGCUGAGGCAUGAAAACAGCAGAUUCAAGGGAGACCACAAUGUUGCCAUUUCUAAUUAAGUGAUCAUGAUCAGCCAACUCUUAAACCCAAGGAGGGGUGAGGAAGUUUGGAACAUCCAAGAUUGAGGGAGGAUUUGGGAACAGGGUUUCUAAAUCUGUUAGCUUGCUGAGCUCCAUUCCUCAGGAGGGCAGGAGGGGUAUCCGAGUCUCUGACCUUAGAUUUGGGGAGAAGACCUUCAGUGGGAUUUUCAGGGCAGAGUCAUUUAUUCAACAUAUUCAAUGAGUCGUGCAAGACCCUGCUGUGCUAAGAGGUGGAGAAGGCACAGGAGACAUCAUCAUUGUAGAACUUACCAUGCCCUGUGCUGUCCUGUAAACAGAAUUACUGUCCAGCUAUUCAGUUCAAUUUUACAUGACCAUUCAUUCAUAAAGAUUAGAUUGGAGGGACACACUGAGUGAAUUGUGGAUAAAUCUACGCAGAUGAGUCAAGUAUUAGUUCAUUCCCUAGAGCAGCCAGCUUCCGAGACUCC
rnacentral:lncRNA from 1 species